CCUACGGGAGGCUGCAGUGAGGAAUCUUCGUCAAUGGGCGCGAGCCUGAACCAGCCAAGUAGCGUGAACGAUUACUGCCCUACGGGUUGUAAACUUCUUUUAUCAAGGAAUAAUGUGAGGCACGUGUGCCUUUUUGUAUGUACUUUCUGAAUAAGGAUCGGCUAACUCCGUGCCAGCAGCCGCGGUAAUACGGAGGAUCCGAGCGUUAUCCGGAUUUAUUGGGUUUAAAGGGAGCGUAGAUGGGUUGUUAAGUCAGUUGUGAAAGUUGUCGGCUCAACCGUCAUAUUGCAAUUGAUACUGGGAGUCUUGAGGACAGUUGAGGUAGGUGGAAUUCGUGGUGUAGCGGUGAAAUGCGUAGAUAUUACGAAGAACUCCGAUGGCGAAGGCAGCUUACUAAACUGCCACUGACAUUGAUGCUCGAAAGUGUGGGUAGCAAACAGGAUUAGAUACCCGAGUAGUC
rnacentral:rRNA from 1 species